GCCACCUCGGUAAGUAUGUUUUCCAAAUCAGGUAGUAUUGGAUUCUUUUCAAGGGUAACUUAACUAAACUAGCUAACGGUAGCCAGUAGAGAUUGGCUACCAGCACCAAUGCACUUUAUGUGUAGCACAAUUGUUUCUAUAAACAGUAAAACUCCCACCGGUAAGUAAUGCAGUGGGAUGAACUCAUGAGCUGAAAAACAAGGUGUGUAAAUGUGAGUUCAAGAUUAUGUGAAGAUGUUCUGAGCAGCAAAGCAUAAAUUAUAUAAUUUAGCAUUACAGCUAACCGAGGCUACUUGUCACCCCUCAGGCCCACAAAUGACACUGUAGAUUGUUGGUCAAAUGGAAAUCUGCCAUCUCACCUUGGCUUACCUGCUGGCCUUUACUCACAAGAUAAAACCGUUCUCUGCUUGGCUAGAGAGAGAGAGAGAGAGAGAGAGAGAGUAGUAAUGCUGAUGGAGGACAGAGGCAGUCACAAUGAUAAAGACAUUUAAUUUAAUGUGAAUAAGGUACCAGAGUGCAUACUGUAAAAAAGCAUAAAAUGUAUCUCUCUUUGUUUCUACAUGUUCCUGCUUUUUUGUCCUUUGCCAAUCACAACCCUGGUUUUUGACUGCUGGGCAUAUAAACAUUAAAAACACAUGAAAGAUAAUGUUGCUAAUAUUUUGCUAAUGUCUCUUCAGGCUCCAACCAGCUACAAUAACACACCUGGGCCAGCCACACCCACCACCUCCACCGCGACAUCAUACAGCUCGGGCUCCAGCACCAGUGCUAUCAUACCUUUACCAGCAACAGACUUCGCUCCAGUGACUUGUCUGUCAAAUGACUACCAAGGAAGACAUCAGAUUUCCAAAGAGGAGCUUGAACAUGUUCUUUCACUGAAAACCACCUUUACAGAAGCGGCAUCUAUUCUCUCAAUCUCAAGGCCAAGUUACUGCAAGACUAUAAUAUCCCAACGUCAAAAUUGAAGAGCAUCAGUGAUCAACAAUUGGAUCUUGAAGUGUCACAAAUAAAAACUGAACACCCAAAUGCUGGAGAAGUGAUGCUUAUGGGGCAUCUCGGCUCCAAAAACAUUGUGGUUCAAAGACAGUGUGUAAGAGAUUCACUUCGAAGGAUGGACCCAAUUGGUGUCCUAGCCAGGAGAAGAACAGCAAUAGCUCAGCGAGUAUACUCUGUCCCAACUCCAAAUUUCCUAUGGCAUGUAGACGGAAAUCAUAAGUUGAUUAGGUGGAAAUUGGUUGUUCAUGGUGCCAUAGACGGCUACAGUAGGAUGUUGAUGUUUCUUCACUGCUCCAACAAUAAUCGUGCUGAAACUGUGAGAGACCUCUUUACUGCAGCUGUUGGACAGUUUGGCAGACCACUGCACAUCAGGACUGAUCACAGAGGAGAGAACGUUCAGAUUUGGGAGGACAUGCAUGCGAGCAGGGGGGAAGGCUCUGUCUUAACAGGAAGUUCUGUACACAACCAGAGGAUCGAGCGUUUUAACCGAGACUUGAACACAAACUGCAGUCAUAUUUAUACACCCAUUUUCUAUGAACUGGAAUCCCUGGGUAUCCUAGACAUGGACAAUGCAACAGACCUAUUUUUUUUCCAUUAUGUCUUUCUACCCAGAAUCAACCGCACUUUGGAGGAAUUCAAAGCUGGAUUUAACAAUCACUCUGUCAUCUGAAGGAAAUGGAACACCAGUUCAGGUUUUUACUCUGGACAGGGAUUUGCCUCAUCUUCACAACCAAGAACUCUCAACAGCAGGGGUAGUUUUUUGUUCCUCCCCAAACUCUCAAAGAGGAUUUUCCCAAUUGAAUGACAGGGAUUUGCAAGAACUGAAUGAUGCCAUUAACCCUCUUCAAAAUGACCACAACAAUGGCAAAACAUUGUUUCAGAGAACACAACAGUAUAUUUUUGAUAAACUUGUAAAUGUGUGAUCUUAGCAUAACAUGGACAACUGGGUAACAUUAGCCUUAUUGUACUUUCAAAAGUACACUGUGAAACAAAUAUUGAUGUUUUGUUGUGCUUCUUGAACUGCAAGAUUUAAAGCCUCUUGCCAGCAUAUAGAUGUUUGAAAAUUACAUGAUGGCACAUAGUUGAUGUCAGUGUUGAAAAAGGCUACAGAUGCACUUUGGCAACUGUUACAGAGUUUUAUGUCAAGUCAAAAGCAAUGGUACUGUGGAUAAAUACAAGAUGACUCCUGUUAUUUGAAAGAACAGUGAAAUACUUUUCGGGGCUCUACAGAUGUAUUGAUACAUAACUGUCUUCCACUACAUUGCAGUAUGUUGUUCCUGAUUUUUAAAGUACCUAAAUAUGCAAAGUAAAACUUCUUAGUGAAGUAAAACGAUACCUGUCAGUGUUUUAUUAUAUCUUAUAAAUUACAUACAUAACUAUGGUAUCUUUAUUAUGUAUCUCUGAGAAGAUGGCUGUUCAUAAGGUCAGAAAAAAAAGUUUUUAGCUUUGUGACGAUGCAUUUUGCAGCUAAACCAAAAGGUUUUGUAAAGAGC